GGGAGCCAGGCCGUGCAGGGCCUCGUAGGCCACUAGAAAUUCUUUGGCUUUUGCUGUACGUGAGAUCUGAAGUCCCCGAAGGCUUGGCUUCUUAGAGGAGUGACAAGUUCUGAAUUGCGUGUUGCUAGGAGCCCUGUGGCUGCUUGGUGGUGAGGAGGCUGGAGUUGGCCUCGGGGUGAAGCAGAGAGACCAGCUAAGAGGGCGCUGCCCAGAAAUCCUGGUGACAGAUGGUGGGCCCUGUGGGUGAAGCCUGUGUGCCCUUGUUGUCCUGCAGAGGGAACAAUCAGGACGAGGAGGAGAACCAGGUGUCAGCGUGAAGAAAAUGAGAGCGCUGGGGAGAACGAAGGCAGGCUGUUUCCUUCAGUGCAUUCAUUAGCAACUAUAUCAAGGAAUAGCCUCAGUGCAGCGAGGGCAGCCCUUGAAUGAGAAAGUUUCAAUCACAAGGACUGCCAGAUGCAGAUGGACUGUCUCUAGUCCUGGCCUCUUCCCUGCGCCUGGUGGGUGAGCAGGCCAGGCCUAGCUGAACGUCUUCGUGGGCCACUUCUUAUGGAGUGCUGUUUGUUUGGCACGUUUACAUCAGACGUACAGUUUCACCAGCCAAAGCAAUGACAAGGGAAUUCCAUUCCUGGCUGGGUCUUUCCCUGAAGGCAUCAGAGGGCAUUCAUGUAUAUUGUCUAUACCACCUCUCUCCCACCCAUUUCCUUCAAAUCCCCAGGCCAUGAGGAACACAUUUCUCCAUCCCAGACUGCAGUGGUUUCUUGCCACUCUACCACCACCAUCCCCACUCCCUUCUCCUAGCAAGAAAGAGUCCUAAGGAGAAGAAGGGUCCAGUAACCACCAGACCAUGCCAGAUCCUCCUUAGUGGGUUGGCUAGAACUCUGAGUCAGGGCACUCACCUGUGUUAGUAAUCUUUAUUCUGUCAAAAUCUUAAAAAUUUUUAAUUAAUGACUAUUUAGUUUCAUAUUACCUUUACUUUAGUUACUAAGCCACACUAACACAAACUCACACUCAUACACAUACACGCACACACUCAUGUUACAAUUAUUUUAGAGAUUGUAAACUUUUAGAUAUUAUUUGUUUUGACAUUGCUAUCACAAUUAUGUGUUUAAUUUGGUUUGAAUGUAAACUUUUCCUGAAUGACUCAGCAAUAAAUGUGAGUUGUAAAUAAGAGAACUAAUUUACAAAUAGCUAUUCCUCUUAUUACAUAGAAUGUAUUAUCCUUACCAUUUUUAAAUAUUAUGAAGAAUAUAUAGAGUGUAAGCUUCUUGAGGACAGAGAUUUUUGCCUGCUUGUGUUACUGCUGAUUCUCCAGUGCCGAGAUUGGUACAUGACUCAUAGUAGGAGCUGAAUCAUUUAUUUUGUUGUUUUUGUUAAAAAGGAAAUAUAUA